UUCGUCGUCCCCGGGUGAGUCGGGUCCUAAGGCGAGGCCGACAGGCGUAGUCGAAUGGAUGAACGGGUGGAUAUUCCCGUACCGGCGGCGUACCGUAAGAGCCGAACGGAUGAGUACUAACCUCCGGUCGCGUGGCGUCGUUCCCUUCGGGGUUCGGGGCGCGUGGCUGUUGGGAGCGUAGUCCCGGUAGGCUAGCGCACAGGGGUGACACGGAAUGGGAGCCGGCCGCGGAGGUGGUUUUCCGUGGUCAAGCACGCAGCCCGUCCCAUAGGCAAAUCCGUGGGACGCAUAGGGUGAGGUGUGAUGAUGGGCGUCCUUUGGACGCGAUAUCCGGUGGUCCAGGCCGUCGAGAAAAGCCUCGGCGCGAGGGGCGUCGCCGCCCGUACCCCAAACCGACACUGGUGGUCAGGUAGAGAAUACCAAGGCGAUCGAGCGAAUCCUGGUCAAGGAACUCGGCAAAUCACUCCCGUGCCUUCGGUAUAAGGGAGACCCCCGGGCGUGAAGAGGCUUGCCCUCGGAGCGUUGGGGGGUGGCACAGACCAGGGGGUAGCGACUGUUUACCAAAAACACAGGUGCAUGCGAAGGCGCAAGCCGCUGUAUAUGCACUGACGCCUGCCCGGUGCCGGAAGGUUAAGAGGAUCCGUCAGCCCCUUUUGGGGUGAAGCGGUGAAUUCAAGCCCCGGUAAACGGCGGUGGUAACUAUAACCAUCCUAAGGUAGCGAAAUUCCUUGUCGGGUAAGUUCCGACCUGCACGAAUGGCGUAACGACUUCCCCACUGUCUCGACCAGGAGCUCGGCGAAAUUGCAGUACGAGUAAAGAUGCUCGUUAAGCGCAGAAGGACGAAAAGACCCCGGGACCUUUACUAUACCUUGGUAUUGGCGUUAGGCGCGGAUUGUGUAGCAUAGGCGGGAGGCUUCGAAGCAUGGGCGCCAGCCCGUGUGGAGCCGCAAGGUGAAAUACCGCUCUGUUCUCGUUUGACGUCUCACCUCGAACAGUCAUCCUGUUCAGGGACAGUGCCUGGCGGGUAGUUUAACUGGGGCGGUUGCCUCCCAAAGAGUAACGGAGGCGCUCAAAGGUCCGCUCAGCCCGGUUGGCAAUCGGGUUUCGAGUGUAAUCGCACAAGCGGGCUUGACUGCGAGAACGACGGUUCGGGCAGGGACGAAAGUCGGAGAUAGUGAUCCGGUGCCGGCGCACGGGCGCGGCAUCGCUCAACGGAUAAAAGGUACCCCGGGGAUAACAGGCUGAUCAUUCCCAAGAGUCCAUAUCGACGGGAUGGUUUGGCACCUCGAUGUCGGCUCGUCGCAUCCUGGGGCUGGAGCAGGUCCCAAGGGUUCGGCUGUUCGCCGAUUAAAGCGGCACGCGAGCUGGGUUCAGAACGUCGUGAGACAGUUUGGUCUCUAUCCUCUGCGCUCGUUGGAAUCCUGAGGAGGCCUGCCCAUAGUACGAGAGGACCUGGGUGGACGGACCUCUGGUAUGCCGGUUGUCGCGCCAGCGGCAUGGCCGGUUGGCUACGUUCGGGAGGGAUAACCGCUGAAAGCAUCUAAGCGGGAAGCCUGCUCCAAGAUUAGGAUUCCUUGACGCUCCCCGGAGCGCCUGUAGCCCGCAUGUUGAACACGUGUUCGAUAGGCCGGAGGUGGAAGCCCCGCGAGGGGUGGAGCCGACCGGUACUAACGGGCGAACGCGGCACAC
rnacentral:rRNA from 1 species